CUCCUGUGAUUGGUAGCAGGGAC
rnacentral:miRNA from 1 species